GAGGGAGUGGUGUAGCCUGGCCACAUAAGACAGGGGAGGGAGUGGUGUAGCCUGGCCACAUAAGACAGGGGAGGGAGUAGUGUAGCCUAGACAGGGGAGUAGGGAGGACAUAGUGUAGCCUAGGCCCAUAGGACAGGGGAGUAGGAAGGGAGUAGUGUAGCCUGGGCCCAUAAGACAGGGGAAGUAGUGGUGUAGCCUGGGCCCAUAAGACAGGGGAGGCGGUGGUGUAGCCUGGCCACAUAAGACAGGGGAGGGAGUGGUGUAGCCUGGGCCCAUAAGACAGGGGAGAGAGUGGUGUAGCCUGGUCCCAUACGAUAGGAGAGGGAGUGGUGUGGCCUGGGCUCAUAAGACAGGGGAGGGAGUGGUGUAGCCUGGGCCCAUAAGACAGGGGAGGGAGUUGUGUAGCCUGGUCCCAUACGA
ensembl:lncRNA